rnacentral:rRNA from 1 species
AUGGAGUAUGACGAGCGAUACACGGAGUAUAUCCUGAAGACCGGGCUUCUCCCUUUCAUCUCACUCGUGUCUCGUUCGAUGCCGAAGAUGAACCCUUGUGCGAUCACGGCACUCAUUGACCGAUGGCGCCCUGAGACACAUACUUUUCACUUCUAUGCUGGGGAGAUGACAGUCACUUUGCAGGAUGUGUCUCUGAUCACUGGACUUCCCAUCAAAGGACAACCUAUUAGUUUUAGCACAGAUUCUGAAGGAUGGCGUGAGAUUAUGGUUGGACUCAUAGGGAGGGAGCCAGGGGUACAAGGGAAGUCCGGCUGA